AUUGCCUCCGUGGCCUAAUAAUACCGUAUAUUCAUUGAGAGUUUCUAGGUUCGAUAGCCCUCGCUUUGGACAGCAUCCCUUCGAAAUAUUGACUUAUGAUCGGAUAUAACAUUAAUUGACAUUAAUUUCAGAGCUGACGUACGAAAUAGUAAAUUCGAGACGAGGUGGAAAACUACUGAUGAUCAACAAAUACACUUAUUCGAAAAUAAACAAAAAUUCCAAGUUUUGGAUCUGUUCGAGUAAAUCGUCGAAGAACUGCGAGGCUAAGACCUACCUUACGAACUCAUAUUCACAGGCAGAGGUCCAAAACUACUUAUAAAUAGCUACACGUUCACAAAAACCCGUAAGACAUCGAAAACCUGGUUCUGUUCAAGCAGAAUGAGCAAACGAUGUGGCGCGAAGGUUGUUUUUGAUGAGAGGCGAAAAUUUACUUACCACCAUUUGGUCCACAGCCACCCGCCUCUUAAGUGCAUAAGAACAAAAGAAGACAGUAUAAUGAAAAUACAAAGCACGUAAUAAUCCUAAUUGUAUUAAGAACCGUAUUAAGAUACUACUCAAUAUCACUCUGAAGUGCGACAUUUUGAUGCGGUAUCAAGUAAUAAUCAGCGUCUUAAUAUCAUCGCGUCUAACAAAUAUUUUUGACAACAUCUCAAACGCUAUCUUAAAUAGCACCUGAUGAAUUCGAUAGGUUUUAUAUAAAUAAUUAACCGCGUCAACUCAUAUAACAGGCGCUUAAGUGACAGCUCAAGUAUUGUUUAUUAAGUAGCUUAGUAUUUUAAAUAACCACUUAAGAUUCUACUUAAACAUGAGAACGGUUUAUUAAUACGGUUCUAAAUGUAGUACCAAUAUGUUUAGAAAUGUUGUUGACUUUUUUUGACGUUAAUACCAAUAUGUUUAGAAUUGUUGCUUGUCAUGCCAAAACGACUGUUUAAAAUGCAUUUAAUACGUAAUAAUUCCAAAGCAUGAAGCUAUUGAGAGGCUUGAUUUAUUGAUCGUCAGUGGCGUGAUAGCUUUUUGUGGUAUUUAUAUAUUAAUUAUGAAAUUUUGAAAUUUCUUCAUGAUGCUCUGAGGUUGCCUUGACUUAAUCUGUUUUGCCCAUCCCCGCAUCACAGUAAUGUAUAAAUUAUUUAUCAAUAUUGUCGCUCGUAUUUGAUGUUAUGUGGAUUUAUUCAGUGUGAAUCAUUGUUAGUAUUAGAAUACCAUACAUAAUUAAAUUUGUCUUAUUUAAGAGUACAGGUUUAAUAAGUCACAAUAUUAUAAAUAUUUAUAUUUACAGUGUAAAUUUGUUGAUUACACUUUAAAUUAUUUUUUUAACUAGAUGUUUUUACCCAUGAUAACAUUAUGUGGGUUUAUAUCUAGCAUGUUAGUCAUAUUUAUUAAUAUAACUUAUAUUAUUAAAAGUAAAACUUAUUAGUUGCGUCCAGUGUUCUAUUAAAAUAAAACACUAUAAUAAAAAUAAAUCACCUAAUAUUAUAGCAUUUUAUUUAAUGUUACUUAGAACCUAAUGAAACGUUGCAUAGCAUAUUUAUUUUUUAUUUUAUUAUCAUUUUAAAAUGUAUUAAGUCAUAGAAUCAAUAUUGUACUGUAUGCUUGCAUCUUAAAGAUUUUGAAAUGACUGCAAUCUGCAAAAGAAGUAAUAAAGAAUUGUAUAAGCUAAAUUUAUUAUAUUUCGCUUUCAGAACCACAUUACGAAUUCAUAAACACAAUUCGAGGUGCAAAGUUGCUAAUGGUAAACAAAUACACCUUCGCAAAGACUUCGACCGGAAGAUGGUUUUGCUCAAGCAGGUUAUCCAAGUUCUGCCAGGCCAGGGUGACCUUAGACGAGACCCAUAAAUUGACAGCAUACAACUUGGACCACAACCAUCCACCGCCUAAUUGCAUCAGGACAAAAGAAGGCAAUUUAAUGAAAUUAUAAAAAACAAUGGCGUGGAUGUUUCCACGCAUUUGACGGUCCUUCGAGCUGGAGUUCCAAAACAUGCAACUAAAUGAAAAUUUUGAUAUACAAGAAUUGAAACACUAUGCAAUAAAAUUUAACACCGCCAAUGUUAAAAAAGAACGCAGUUUCAUAGAGUUUGAAAUGAAUACAAACUUUGGGAUCACUGAUGUCUGACAAUAAAAUAUAAUAAUGGGGGAUUUAUAAUUUAAAAAAAAAGCAUCGUCUAAGUAGACUCAAGACAUGAUAGACAUCUAUGUCAUCUUCAAUUAAUGACACUUGAAUAAUCUUGUCUCCUCGGAAGGAUUUAAGGAUAUCUCAUCUAUUAUAUCCGAUUAGUUAAUAUAUUGUGUGUGGUUAUAAAAAUCUAUAAGAUGAUUGACUUUUUUAUUUUACUUAUUCGUUCCAAACUAGUCUUAGAAUCAAUAUUGUUACGUUGGAGUUUUGAAAAAAUGAUUAUUAUAGUAAACAAAAUGAUGAAAUCCUCGUAUUAUUCAAUGAGGCAAAGAAGGCAUAGAUCUGCGACAAUUACUACAUAUAUAUCAAAAUUUAUUGUAUUACAAUUUAACGUAACUCGCGUUUCUUUCAGGAAUAAUUUACGAGCAAGUACAAACAGUUCGUGGCACGAAACUAUUGAUUAUAAACAACUUCACUUUCUCGAAACACUGUAAGACGUCAUCAACUUGGUUUUGUUCGAGUAGAUUGUCGAAAUCUUGCGAGGCUAAAGUCAGUUUAGACGCAAAUAAAACUUUCACUGUAUACAAUUUGUAUCACAAUCAUCCGCCCCCAAGGUUUGUCAGGUCCGAAGAAGGAACUGUACAGAAAUUUUAAAAUGAAUCAAAGACUAUCCAUUAUGUUCAUGUGUUUGAGUUAAUUCAGUGGUUUGGAAUCUAAUCUUUUACAAAGAAAGGUGCUGUAUAUUGUCUCAUGAGAUUGUAAAAUAAAUUAAAUUUUUACCAUCUGUUAUAUUUUUAUUCAAAUGAAGUCUACAAUUAAGUAUUCGAAGAAAUAGAAAAAAUGAGUAUGCUGGAGUUCGUAAAUACGUAAUAUCUUAGGGCAUCUUCAGAUUGCGGCUGCGCGGCUGAUUUAAAGAUUCCCAUACUUACUCUUUAUACUUGUAAGGAGUAGGGACACUGUGAUAUCUGGUGGCUCGGUGGAAUUACUGUCAUCUAUAGGGGAUACAGGUAUACGUAAAGUAAACUGCUGGUUACAUAUCUAAUUUAUAACAAGCCUUGGAUCAUUGUAGCGUCAUUAAUAUUUCGUCUCCACAGGUCUGACCUAUGAUCUGAUUGAAACUGAACGUGGCACUACAUUGGUCAUGGUUGAGAAGUUCACAUUUUCGAAAACGUCACGCACCUCUUACAUCUGGCACUGUUCGAGUCGAAAAAUGAAGAACUGCAAAGCAAAACUAACCUUGACUCCGAAGAAUAAAAUCGUUGCUUAUGAUGGAAACCAUAACCACAGUCCGCCCCAGUAUUUAAAGUCUUCUGAGGGUGUUUAUAUAAAAUUGUGAGACGAUCGUAGGGAUUCAAAUAUUUCAUUGCCUAUGUUCUUUCAACGAAGAUCUGCAACGUAGGUGGUAGAUCCCUUGUAUGUGAGAGUCUGUCUGUUUUUACCAUCGCUUUAUCUACUUCCGCCACAUAGCAAAAGGCACCUUCGAGCACUAUUGUUACAGUUUAAUAUUUGUAAUUUGUAGCCAAUGCAUUUACUGGUAAUUGUGAUUAGUAAUGUACUCUGGGCGUUAUGAAUAUUUAUUAUUACUAAUGAGGUGUCAUCACCCAUCGGGUGCUUUUCACAGCGUUUACUGAUCCCACAGCCCCUUCUCUUUGUUGAAUAUACAACCUAGAAAGUAGGUUGGUAGUAGAAAUCUAGCCUCUAUCUUUGCAGCGUGUUACAAAUAGUACGAAUGUUGCUUUUAGUUGCUAAUUACAUUAUGUAAGUACUUAGUCAAAUUGUGAUAUAUUACUUAAAUAAGGUCUUGUGUGUGUUUGAGUAUUAAAUGUGCGUUAUAAUUUA